CUCCUCCUCCUCUUCCUCCUCCUCCUCCUCUGUCAGACAUGGCUGGCCCUCCUCCUCCUCUACCAGACAUCACUGACCGUCCUCCUCCUCUACCAGACAUUGCUUGCAUUCCUCCUCCUUCUCCUCCUAUUACUCUUCCCUCUCCUCCUCCUUCUCAUCCUACUCCUCCUCUACAGGACAUUGCUGGCCUUCCUGCUCCACCUCUUCCUUUUCGUACACCUCCUCUUCCUGCUCAUCCUCCUCCUCCUCCUCCUUCUCUUCCUCUACCAGACAUUGCUGGCCUUCCUGCUCCACCAACUCCUUCUCCUUCACCUCCUCCUGCUCAUCAUCAUCAUGCUCCUCCUCCUCAUUCUCUACCAGACAUCUCUGGCCUUCCUCCUCCUCCUCCUCCUCAUCCUCUUCCUUCUCUUCCAGACGUCGCUAGUCCUUCUCCUCCGCCUCCUCCUCCUCUACCAGACGUUGCUGGCCCACCUCCUCCUCUACCAGACAUUGCUGGCUCUCCUCCAAUUCCUCCUCCUCUACCAGACAAUUCUGGCCUUCCAGCUCCUCAUCCUCAUCCUGUUCCUUUUCUACCAGACAUCGCUGGCAUUUCUCCUCCUCCUCCCCCUUGUUUUCCUCCUCUUUCUCUACCAGACAUCACUGGCCCUCCUCCUCCUCCUCCUGCUACUAAUCCUCCUCCUCUUCUACCAGAUAUUCAGGGCACUCAUCCUCCUUCUCCUCUAACAGACACUGAUGGCCUUCCUCCUCCUCUACCAGACAUCUCUGGCCUUCCUCCUCAUCCUCCUCCUCCUCCUCCUCCACCAGACUUCGCUGGCCCUCCUCCUCCUCUUCUACCAGACAUCACUGACCCUGGUGCUCCUCCUCUUCCUCCUGUACUAGACAUUGCUGGCCUUCUUCCUCCUCCUCCUACUCCUCUACCAGAACUCUCUGACCCUACUCCUCCUACUCUUACAGACAUCUCUGGCCCUCUUCCUCCUCCUCCUCAUCCUCUACCAUACAUUGCUGGCCUUCCACCUCCUCCUCUACCAGACAUCCCUUGCCCUUUUCCUCCUUCUUCUCUACCAGACAUCGCUGGUCCUCCUCCUCUUCUACCAGACAUUGCUGGCCCUGCUGCUCCUCCUCUUCCUCCUGUACUAGACAUUGCUGGCCUUCUUCUUCCUCCUCCUACUCCUCUACCAGACCUCUCUGACCAUACUCCUCCUACUCUUACAGACAUCUCUGGCCCUCUUCCUCCUCCACCUCCUCUAGCAUACAUAGCUGGAUUUCCACCUCCUCCUCUACCAGACAUCCAUUGCCCUCCUCCUCCUUCUCCUCUACCAGACAUCGCUGGCCCUCCUCCUCCUCCUCUACAAGACAUCACUGGCCCUCUUCGUCCUCCUCAUGUUCCCGUACCAGACAUCACUGGCCCUCCUUUUCUGCUUCCUCCUCUUCAUCUACCAAACAUUGCUGGCCCUCGUCCUCCUCCUCCUCCUCUACCAAACAUUGCUGGCAUUCCUCCUCCUCUAAAAGACAUCUCUGGCCCUCCUCCUCCUCUUCUACAAGACAUCACUGACCCUCUUUCCCUCCUCCUCCUCCUGUACCAGACAUUGCUGGCCCUCUUCCUCCUCCUCCUCCUACUCAUCUACCAGACAACACUAACUCUCCUCCUCCUCCUCUACCAGACAUCGCCGACCCUCUGCCUCCUCCUCCUUCUCCUCUACCAUACAUUGAUGGCCCUCCAUCUACACCUCUGCCAGACAUCCCUGGCUCCCCUCCGCAUCCUCCUCCUCCUCCUCAUUCUCCUCUAACAGACAUCACUGGCCCUCCUCCUCCUCUUCUACCAGACAUUGUUGACCCUCUUCCUCCACCACCUCCUCCUCCUCCUCUACAAGACAUUGUGUGUCCCCCUCCUCCUCCUCCUCUGCCAUACUUAGCUGGCCUUCCUCCUCCUCCUCUAGUGGACCUCUCUGGCCCUCCUUCUCAUCCUCUUCCUCCUUCUCCUUUUUCUCCUCCUCCUUCUCUAGCACACAUCACUGGCCCUCCUCCUCCUCUUCUACCAGACAUCAUUGACCUUCCUCUUCCUCCUCCUCCUCCUGUACCAGACAUUGCUGGCCCUCUUCCACCUCCUCC
rnacentral:lncRNA from 1 species